rnacentral:rRNA from 1 species
UCAUGAAUCUUCCGCAAUGCGCGAAAGCGUGACGGAGCGACGCCGCGUGAUCGAAGACGCCCUUCGGGGUGUAAAGAUCUUUUAUCAGGGAAGAACGAUGACGGUACCUGAUGAAUAAGGGGCUGCUAAACUCGUGCCAGCAGCAGCGGUAAUACGAGUGCCCCGAGCGUUAUCCGGAUUUAUUGGGCGUAAAGCGUCUCAAGGCGGUUUGGUAAGUCAAAUGUCAAAUCUCAAGGCUCAACCCUGAGACUGCAUUCGAAACUAUCAGACUAGAGGAUGGGAGAGGUCAACGGAAUGGCUGGUGUAGCAGUAAAAUGCGUUAAUAUCAGUUGGAACACCAAAGGCGAAGGCAGUUGACUGGAACACUCCUGACGCUCACAGACGAAAGCGUGGGUAGCGAAUGGGAUUAGAUACCCCCGUAGUCC